rnacentral:rRNA from 1 species
GCUGAAACUCGCCUACAUGAAGCUGGAGUUACUAGUAAUCGCAGAUCAGAAUGCUGCGGUGAAUGCGUUCCCGGGUCUUGUACACACCGCCCGUCACACCACGGGAGUUGGAGACGCCCGAAGCCGAUUAUCUAACCUUUUGGAAGAAGUCGUCGAAGGGGGAAUCAAUAACUGGGGUGAAGUCGUAACAAGGUAGCCGUAUCGGAAGGUGCGGCUGGAUCACCUCCU